rnacentral:misc_RNA from 1 species
GAUGAAGAACUCAGCGAAAUGCGAUAAGUAAUGCGAAUUGUAGAAUUCCGUGAGUCAUCGAAUCUUUGAACGCACAUUGCGCCCUCUGGUAUUCCGGAGGGCAUGCCUGUCUGAGCGUCAUUGUCAACCCUCAAGCUCAGCUUGCUGUUGGGUCCCCGUCGUUGCUUUAACGGCGGACCCGAAAGGUAAUGGCAGAGUCCGUGAGACCCUAGACGCAGCGAGCUUCUAGCACGCGUCUGGACGUUUUUCGGGCUCGGUCUUAACUAGAUGAUAACUUCCGAUUGACCUCAGAUCAGGUAGGGAUACCCGCUGAACUUAAGCAUAUCAAUAAGCGGAGGA